GAUGAACGCUGGCGGCGUGCCUAAUACAUGCAAGUCGAGCGAACAGAUGAGGAGCUUGCUCCUCUGACGUUAGCGGCGGACGGGUGAGUAACACGUGGAUAACCUACCUAUAAGACUGGGAUAACUUCGGGAAACCGGAGCUAAUACCGGAUAAUAUAUUGAACCGCAUGGUUCAAUAGUGAAAGACGGUUUUGCUGUCACUUAUAGAUGGAUCCGCGCCGCAUUAGCUAGUUGGUAAGGUAACGGCUUACCAAGGCGACGAUGCGUAGCCGACCUGAGAGGGUGAUCGGCCACACUGGAACUGAGACACGGUCCAGACUCCUACGGGAGGCAGCAGUAGGGAAUCUUCCGCAAUGGGCGAAAGCCUGACGGAGUAACGCCGCGUGAGUGAUGAAGGUCUUCGGAUCGUAAAACUCUGUUAUUAGGGAAGAACAAAUGUGUAAGUAACUAUGCACGUCUUGACGGUACCUAAUCAGAAAGCCACGGCUAACUACGUG
rnacentral:rRNA from 1 species